rnacentral:piRNA from 1 species
UUUCUGUGAGUUCCAGGCUAGACUGU